UACAGAGGUGCCAAGCGUUAGGCGGAAUCACUGGGCUUAAAGCGCGUGUAGGUGGACGGGUAAGUAUCUUGUGAAAUCCCACGGCUCAACCGUGGAACUGCUGGAUAUACUGCUUGUCUUGAGGCACUUAGGGGCGGCUGGAACAAAUGGUGGAGCGGUGAAAUGCGUAGAUAUCAUUUGGAACGCCAAAGGCGAAAGCAGGCUGCUGGGAGUGAUCUGACACUGAGACGCGAAAGCCAGGGGAGCAAACGGG
rnacentral:rRNA from 1 species